AUUGAACGCUGGCGGCAUGCCUUACACAUGCAAGUCGAACGGUAACAGGUCUUCGGAUGCUGACGAGUGGCGAACGGGUGAGUAAUACAUCGGAACGUGCCCGAUCGUGGGGGAUAACGGAGCGAAAGCUUUGCUAAUACCGCAUACGAUCUACGGUUGAAAGCAGGGGACCGCAAGGCCUUGCGCGGACGGAGCGGCCGAUGGCAGAUUAGGUAGUUGGUGGGAUAAAAGCUUACCAAGCCGACGAUCUGUAGCUGGUCUGAGAGGACGACCAGCCACACUGGGACUGAGACACGGCCCAGACUCCUACGGGAGGCAGCAGUGGGGAAUUUUGGACAAUGGGCGAAAGCCUGAUCCAGCCAUGCCGCGUGCAGGAUGAAGGCCUUCGGGUUGUAAACUGCUUUUGUACGGAACGAAAAGACUCUUUCUAAUAAAGAGGGUCCAUGACGGUACCGUAAGAAUAAGCACCGGCUAACUACGUG
rnacentral:rRNA from 1 species